rnacentral:misc_RNA from 1 species
GUGGGAGCCGAGCUUGCUCGCGAUAGCGGUGGUUCAGCAGCAUGUUUUUGGCUGACACACCGCUAUCGCGAGCAAGCUCGGCUCCCAC